UACAGAGACUGCGAGCGUUAUUCGGAUUCACUGGGCGUAAAGGGUGCGCAGGCGGCCGUGUGUGUGAGGCGUGAAAGCCCGGGGCUUAACCCCGGAAUUGCACCUCAAACUACAUGGCUAGAGCAUUGGAGAGGGUAGCGGAAUUCACGGUGUAGCAGUGAAAUGCGUAGAUAUCGUGAGGAACACCAGAGGCGAAGGCGGCUACCUGGACAAUUGCUGACACUCAGGCACGAAAGCGUGGGGAGCAAAAGGG
rnacentral:rRNA from 1 species